rnacentral:lncRNA from 1 species
CCCAUGAUGCGCUGGCCAUCUAAACCAGAUCGUCGCCGACGAGAAGUCUCUAAUGUCCUGUGUGGCGGCCACGGGUCCAUCUUCAGUCGGCGGCGAGCUAUGGUGAGGUACACAUGGCACUGAUAGAUGCAGUGUACAGGGGCGCCGCCGCUGCCAUGGAGCUGGCCACCAGCUUCUGCCUGCCGUGAUGGGCGCUGCCUCCGCUGCUUUGCCAGGGCCCUCCUGCCCUUCGUUUAUGUGCUGCCCCUCGUCAUCAUCUCCGUGGGUGGGCUCUUGCACUGUAAGCUCUAAUCUUACCUACGGCAGGGUUAGUUGAUUGGUCGGCGCUUCAUUUGUAUUCUGUCAAAGUUCGUUGGUGAUGUCAGUGGUUAUUGGUUUACUUAUUUCUGGGUACGUGUGCACUAGAUAGGUUAUGUUUCUUGGUACUCUGGACCUUGAAGAUAUGUCAUGUUAGAGAAUUCAAGUCUGUAUGUCAUGGUCGUGUCCUCAAUCUGCAAACAAAUAAAUCCUUGUCAUGUUUUUGUCCAUGUGUAGUCCAUAAAUAUUAACAAAAUAGAAAUGAUCAAUUAAUAAAAAGGAUUAAUCCUAAGAUUCACUAUGUAGUACAUCAAGAUUAUAUGUUUUUACUAUAAUAGAAGUAUUUAAUAUCAUAGGAUAAUUGUAGCUCAGAGACCAUGGCCAUGGUGUUGUUCGUACAGAAACCUAAGCCGACUUGCUUGUACAAUUAACUUUUAAGAUGUAAUUUUCCAUUAGUGAGCAUGGCAAUUGUAAAACACUAUGUAAUGAUAAACUAAUUAAAGAAUAUAUAUUCUUUACAAAUAAUUGAAGAAUAGUUCAUACAUUAGACAUGAGCCCAUGUCGUUGGGGUAUGUGCCAUGCUCGACGCAUUUGAUGUUUUUUGAGGUUGUCUUAAAGUUUGUUAACGCGCAGGCAAUGCCCCUGAACCCCAUUCUCCACCCAUCCGACAGUGUGCUAGAUGUCGUCCUCCUCGACGCGGCCGUCCUCGACGAGCUCUCUUGGUCGUAGAAGGCGGAGCAGCAAAGCAUCCUAUCCUCCAGCGCGUGGACUGACGGCUGCAUCCUCCUGCUCUCCUAGCGUGGUGAGCUUCCCCUCUCCCCCUACUCUGAAUCUGGAUGAUACUUGCAAUUGUGAAGCUAUAUAUGAAAUAAAUCAGGUCUUGGUUCAGUUUGUAUGUGUCGAUUUGUUGAACCUUGACUGAAACCAAAGCAUCAUGUUUGGAUGUUCGAUUUUCAUUAGUAUGCAGUACUUGGUUCAAGCAAAUUGCUUGAUACAAUUGUAACUGGGGCAUCUCUGUAUGGUUCAAGCACCAGCACAACCUCUGCACUUUCUGGAACGUAGAAGAAAACAAAGCACAAAAUAUUUUAAGGAUACACAUGCGCAGUUUCAGAGAUGAGUGGUAGUGAAGUAAUGAAGUUGCACGUUCAGUUAGUAACCAAGCACAGAAUGUUCCUGUAAAAGGGGUUCAUUUAUUUUACAUACAUGUAUGACCAUAUAUGCAGGCAUCUUCAUCACUAGAUGGUUAACACAUCAAGUAUUGUGCAUCCAUCCAUGCAACGCCACUGAUUCUACAGCCAAAAUUAUUUUUUGUAAGAGAUAAUUAGCUUCAUGUAAAUCUUGCUGACACUUGCAAUUGUACAACUUUGACUGAAACUUGAUGUUCAAUUUUUAUUAGUGUGCACUACUUACUGGUUCAGUUUGAUGUUCAAUUUUUAUUAGUGUGCACUACUUACUGGAUGACACACAACUUUGGAUGUUCAAUUUUCUUGUGCAUAUGAUUGAAAUCUAACUAAACCUGAUAUCACAUCUAAUCUAAUGCUAAGAAACUUUUAGGAAAUUUAUCCGUACUGAUCGUUUCCACGACAGUAAACUAUAUGCAUAUCUAGGAUAUGAUGCAAGCGUGUAGUAGCAUGAGACCUCUUUCCUAAUUUAGGACAUGAUGUGAACCUUGCAUCUGAUUUAUGAGGUGUGUUUUCCUCUUUGAUGUUUUCCUUUCUAAUCCAGUUCCCUUGAUGCUUCAUGCGAUUCACAUAUGUACCAUAUAUUCUGACUUCUGGAUGCCAGGUAUUCUUAUUUUCUCAUGUGCUUAAUUGUGUUUGUAGGUAUUGAAUUACACAGAAUUUGCUGGAGGGCAACUUUUCCCAUAAAACUUAAAGAAUGAGUUGUGAGGUGGUACUAAGGGGCUUUAGGUACGGAGAUUGUUGGCAGCGGCACACGCGAUGGUGCUCACUUGUGCGAUUUGGCAAGGAAGUAUGUGAUCAUAAUAUUGCUGUUGUCAGCGGAGGCUUGCCUCACCGCAUACAAUUUCUCUCAAUCAAUAUUUAUUUGUCAGAUUGGUCCUUUGGCUAUUGAGAAAUCACCCUGCCUAGGUUCAAUUAUUUAGAUGAGUUUGUUUCAGUAUUUUGGUUAAUGCCUUAGCAUCUCUCUGCUUUGUCUGAAAAUUUAUUUGUAUGCUUUGUGCUUGGUCUCCUACAGGAAGAACAUGGUGAUUGGCUGCGCUGGUGCUUCCAGACUUGCCUGACAUGGAAUCCUUCAGUUGAGGUUUGUUUUUUCGCUACCUUUUAACUCUCUGCACCCUUCUUUUUUCCCUGCUCUUUCCAGCCAUGGUGGUUUGGUUCAUUGUAUUUGCUUGGAUUGUUUAUUAAGUAGUCCUACAGUGUAGGGUUCAUAGAGCAUCCAAAUAGUGUUUUCUCCUAUCAGGUUGUGUCUUUAGUUUAAAAAGACACUGAGUUGCUUGGAGUGUCCAAAAUUGUGCGCCUUGCUGACAAAAACAAAGACAGAAAUACAUCACAUCCACAUACAUAGCUCCCUAAGCCUAGCGACAGACAGCUUGUGCGCGGACACAUGUCAAGCUUCCACACUUGGCUCAGGCACUCCAGCAGGCUGAUUGAGCUUGAGUAAGUCGGUAGCUUAGCUGCUCGUCUGUGGGUGCAUGGCAAGAUGCGCCUCCUGCACUAGAAUAGCAUAAUUUAUAGUUUUCCUAUGCUAAUACUUAAUACUCCUACCUCAUAGUUGGACAAACAAACAUAACAGAAUCCAAUGCCUUGAACCCAAGUUUGAUUAUUUAUAUACCAGCUCAUGAAAAGGGAAUCGAAUGGUAUAUUGCUUGAUUAAGCUGAGUACGCAUUACCAUGUGAUGGCAACAUAUUCAGAGACUUACUCCAGGUCAUAUGAAAUAGAGACCCAAAAUAACAUACAACUAUGCAAUUUUGACAUUGUUUCCUUUGGCAGUUUGGCACCAUCCAAGCAGACAAGAAUUCUGUGCACUUGUUCUUUUUUUUCCCUUCCUCAACAAAUUAAUUGAUUUUUUUUGUUAAAUGUUGUUUGCAGGAAGAUUGAUUCUUGCAGAUGUGUGGGAAGAACUUGUGGAGAGGCUCACCUCACUCUUCACAAAAGGCCAAUACAUGCUUGUUGUACUCCUGGAUGAAUUUGUAUCUCUAUAUAUAUGUUUGUAAAUGUUUCUUGUGUGGCUUUAGUGAUGCCUUCUAGGAUCCUUGUUGUAAUGGACAGAAUAUUUUGUUAGAAAGGAUAAUGGAUGAAACAACUGGGAAUUUGUGAACUGGGCCAAAUUAUGUGCCUGGGACAUCAAGAUAAUUGAGUUGUGUAAGUUUGUUGUGCUAGUUGGGCUGAUGGAUGGAAUGGAUUGUUUUUGAAUUGGGUGAAUCAUAAGCCCAAAUUUUCAUGUUGGGCCUUAU